rnacentral:tRNA from 1 species
AUUGGUUUAGUUUAAAAAAAAUUUCAUUUUGUGAUAUUGAAGAUUCUUAAGAAGCUAAUA